rnacentral:lncRNA from 1 species
GUCGUGCUCCACGUGCUGCGCGCGGCAAGGGCACCAGGGAGGUCUCGCGUGAAUACACUGGCAAGUUUGUGCUCGGGGUUUCGGGGUCUACACCAACCCACCCAGCUCCAUACCGUUCACUGCCGAAAUGUCCAGGACCCACCUCGUGAAUGUCGACGUUCAGGCCGCGGGUGGCAGCCUUCUUCAUCGAGUUGAAGAUCUUCAUGGCCUUGGAGGUGGGCUCAGCCUCCACCUCCUCCUCCUUGGGCUUGCCGGCGUUGGCCUCGGCGUCAGCAGCCUUCUGGGCAGCCCUGCAGAGUCGAGCAUUCCCAAAGUGUUAGCAGUUGCUUUGCCGCAAGCAUGUCCUGCGACUAUGAAUACCGGUAUGCAUAUGCAUGGCGCUCCUGACGGCACACGGACACAAGACGCACGGCAACGCAGCACCUAGCGUCAAACGCACCGGUCCAUGUCCUUGGUGACGGCACGGCGCAGCAGCCACAUGCCGGGGAAGAUGGCGAGAAGCAUGCAGCCUGCGGGUCAAUCCGUGGGGUUACAUUCAUGACUAAUCAGGGAAGUCGUACACGGGCCACCUGUGGCCUCGGGUGGGUCAAUCCCAAGCAAUGGUUGUCCAAAUAUCCCGGUCGUUAGUGUCAUAAUGCAACCCAGUCAGAACCGCAGACGACUCUUAACGCUUACCAGCAGUAAUGCACGCAGCCACCCAGGCGGCCUUGUUCGAGUCCCAGUGAGCCACGUUCUUGGCUCCCUUGUAGAUCACGAAGAAAACUGUUGGAACAAGUCCAUGCACGCAAACCGAGCGUUAGCGGAGCGGACACCUGGCAUGUAUCCGGUUUUGGCAUCAGGCGCCUCCGGCCAGAACAAUUGCUCGUCAGACCCACGCCACUGCAACACACAAUCGCACGCCCGGCGAUGACUUCGGCAACCUGCAUCCCUCCAAGCCCUAUGCAAAUGUACGUGCAAUUCCAGCACCAACGGCACCUUAUGAGCCCGUAACUGAUCUCCAGCCACCCACCGUUGAUGAACACGGUGACACCAACCAGCAGGGGGUACAUGUAGAUUGCCAGGUUGGUCGAGUUCUCGCGGCGGAGGAUGCACACGCGGUUGAGCCAGAAGAUGAUGGCAGACGCAAUGCCUGCAGCAAGGGAAGAGGGUUGGGUGCACGAGUGUGUGAGAAGCAGUGCACGCAAUCGUAAUGGAAUAAGCAACCGAUCCAUGCAUGACAGACGAAGCCGACGUGCAGCUGCGGCAGGAAGAUGAGUACAGGUUCCAGGAACGCAGGUCUUGCCCCGACCCAUGGCGAGCCUCACUAAUUUGUGAGUUCCACGACACCCCACACUCAGGCUGAACGAACACGUACACGCCUGUCUUGGCAUAAGACAGUGCACUCACCCGACAUGAGGGGCGACACGAACCAGGAGCAGAUGACGGGCACCAGACCCUUCGAGUAGGGGAAGGCGUCCAUGUGGUCGUUCCACACCACGGCGCCAGAGCCACCCCACACCAGGGCAAAGCCCAUCACCGCGCCGAUGACGGAGUGAGUGGUGGACACGGCCAGGCUAAAGUAGGUAGCGGUGAACACCCAGGUAGAGGCGGAAAUGAGCGCGCACAUCAUGCCGUACGCGAACAUCUCUGGGAGGUCCUGGAACGCGGUGGGGCGAGCGAUGGAGCCAGCGAUGGUCUUGGUCACCUCGCCACCCAGGCCGAUGGCUCCGGCGAACUCGAAGACGGAAGCGAUGAGGCAAGCCUGCUUCAGGGUAAUGGUCUUGGCGCCGACGGAGGUGCCGAAGGCGUUGGCCACUGUUGGGGGUAGGGGGUUGCAGGUCGGGUUAGUGCCAGGAUAUACACUUGCAUUGGGCUAGUCCGUAAGCGGAGCUGGUUUCCGUGUCAGUGGCACCCUGUUCCACCGGAAUCAGGUCAAGGGACCUGAAGCUGAUGCUCACCAUCAUUGGCACCGAUGCCGGCGGCCAUGAUAAAUGAGACAAUGAAGCCCACAAUCACCAGCCACAUGUAAUCUGCAUCCAGAUGCAGCAGAAGAAAAGAGCAGUGUUGGUAGGCGCAGGAGUUGCGUUGGGGCGGCCCAUGGAGCUAUGGCUACAACAUUAUGCUGGCAAGACCUAGCAUUACGAUGCGCCUACCUGUCCAGUACUCCGGCGGCAUCUGCGGGCGGGUAGGAACAUGAGCGCGGGCAGAGGGGCAAAAGUGAACAGCGAGGGCGAGGGAAAGCAACAGGAGGGAAGGAGGUGCGGCGCUGCGAAGGAGGUGCGGCGCUGCGGAAGAAAGCCAAUGCUAGGCAAAACGCUGACUACAAUAUCGAGUCCACCAUCAAGCGGCUGCCCCAUAAGCAAGUUCGUCGGAGAACGUGAUGCUGAUGCGGCGCAAGCAAUCGGUCACGCUCGGCGGCUGAAGUCAUCGCAAGCCGAACAGACAAUAACGGCCUGAUGCCCGCUGCAACUCUAGUGUUACGCCACACCACCGCAGCGCUGAAACGGGAGUGAACAACCCCACGGGUGUCAGUCCACUUUACGUCUGUCCUGGCCACCCACCUUCGCUGGACUGUCGGUCGCUUAAACAGCCCGUCAAGGCAGGAAGGUACUCUAGAAAGAGAGAACAGGCAGGCUCAGAGCAGGAGUGUGUGGUCGUCGAAGGUCCACCUUUACGGCUUGGCGAAGCAGGUUGUGGCAAAGUCUCUUAAUUAUGUCAAAGGUUGCUCACACACGCUUUAUGCGGCAGCUGAAAUCCGGCGAGAGGCGGUUUCGCCGGAAUUUCGUCAUCAUGAUGAUUCCAAAGGAAUCAAGUUGCUUUUUUGCGGAACAAGCUUUUCACAAGCUUUUCACAGGCGCAGCAUUGACUUUGUUAGUCCUGUCAAAAAUUUUGCAUUCCGAGGUGAAGCACCUCGGAAAUUCUCUGUCUGACAGAGAAGUCUACGAAAUUCUCUGGAGUAACGCAAAUUAAUGCACGUUUUAGAAAACAUACGAUAUCACACAUGCAUCAAACUGGGACGCGACGAUGUCCCGAAACGCUGGAUUUCAACCUUCCCACUCAGAGCAGAAAACGCAGUCAUGGCCUCUGCGUCAUCGCCGGGAAACGAUACUAAAUGCAAUUCAUCAUGAAGAACUCAAACAACUCAAUAUCAGAACAAACCCCCCUCGCAUCAAACUGAAGACAGAGUGCCGCCAUCCGCCACGGCACGCCAUACAAGUCACCGUCAAUGCAGUGGGUCGGCGCCGCAGGGCUUAUCCGUGCGGCGUAGAACUGUUUGGCGGGCAGGUUGGCACGGGGUGGAGCGGUUGAACCGGUGGUGACAUUGAGCCGCGGUGACGAUGCUCGAGGUAGUCGAAGUAGCCUGCGCGUCUCCAUACAGCUGCAGCUCCACAUGGGCGCAAAUGUGGCAUAGCAAGGGGCAGGCACGGCAGGCGGCACGUCAAUGGCACAGACCCGCAGGGAUGCGGUGGGACAGGGUGUGCGAUGGGACAGGGGAAGGGCACGGGGUAAGGGGCAGGUUGGCAGCCCCGUAGAGUUCAGCGUAUUCCCAAAUGGUCGCGGAAUGGGACAUCAGGCGAGACAUAUCAAGAUGGCCGCAUCAGCUAAGAUUCACAACUCACCUGUCCCGGGAAGGUAGCAUUCAUCACGGGCAUCCAGCGAGCGGUGUCGGUCUUCAGGUUAUGGAUGGACUGCAAGGCAGGCCUGCCGUGCAGGGGAGUCAGGUGACAAGGGGAACGUUGGGCGCGUCAGUUGGACGAAACACAUGUGCUGCGCCCAAGCGGCCCCGCUUCCAUACGGCAUGCAAUACGUAAUGCGCGAAUUGCCUUUUAAGGAGCCAAUGCGUGUCAUACGGUAAGCUAAGAACCCAACCACAGCAGGCCAAGACUUACGAUAUCAUAGUGGAUGUCCUUGCUAUUGGCCAGCUCCAGCACGUCGGGCGCCGGUCAACAGGGGCGCCUGCGGUUCAUUAAGUGACAAUGUAGGGGCAACCGUAUGAAGACGGCCAAGGGUCGAAGGGGACUGAAGUGUGCUUCGGCGAUGGUGGACACGCAAGGCCAUGGGCAAACCGUGUCCAGGAAGCCACUCACCGUAGGCGUGCACACAUAACACAAAAUAGCAAAACUGCAGUAUACGGGCAAACCGUGUCCAGGAAGCCACUCACCGUAGGCAUGCACACAUAACACAAUCAAGCGAAACUGCAGUACGGUAUACAUGCUUAGGAACCAUGCAAGUGAACCAGAAGACAGAAGUCCAAACAAUGUUUACAGUAUUAAUCAUGCAUCGGUGUUUCCCGCACAACAAGAAAGCACUCGUCAGGUGGGAUCGUAAAAGUGUGCAAGCAGUAUGCAACAAGUUCCCUACACCGACUACAGGCUGCCACUGUGCCAAACAACAGUGCAAGCCUCACAGUGCAAGCCUCACAGAGCCUGCCUCACAGAGCCUGCACAGCAACCACUCUGUCAGCAAAGAGCCGUAUCUCAGUAUCUAGUGGCAGCUUAGCAGCCUUAAGCCAGCACCACACCAUCCUGCAGACCGCGUCCUCUACGUGCCCGCACGCGCAGUAGUCCUGGUUUUCAUGGUCAGUCACGUUCUCAAUGAUUUAUUCUAGGAAUGCAACAGCCUACCGCCCGCCAGCGGGUGCCGCUGUGGGCCAGGGCUGCACCUGGAUGGUCGUGGCAGCGUACGGCUGGCCAGCGGGCACGUAGGCGCGGCUGCUGCUGUUGAAGCCAGUGGUGAGGGCAGAGUUGUUCUGGUAGGUCGUGAUGGCAGCGUUCAUCUGGGCAAUCAGCAUCGGAGGGUCAACGUAGCCGAUGUUCUUGGUGUUGAGCAUGGCGGUCAGGGCCUUGGUCUGGGAAGCGAUGGUGGCGUUCAGGUACUUGUCGAAGUAAGCCGGGCCAAAGGUCUUGUUCACGGCGAUGUUCUCCUUGGUCAGCUGGGCGUACAGGGUCACCGUCACGUUCUGCAUCGGAAACAACAGGGACGAGUGGGGUUCAGACGGCGGGCACGGAAACAGGCAGCGCACUUUUGUCUCGCGAAUUAAUAGCGCUUGGGUCGAGACCCCGGACCAGGGCCUCCGGCUUUCACACGCGUAGGAAGUCGCGCAACGACCGGGACAUUCAGUGUCGGCUGAAACAGUAUGGACACGGGAGCCUGCAACAUGACUUAACCGGGACUCCCAACAGCCGCUUCCCGUUUAAACCCACCGUCAUGCCCUUCUUGUACUUGGCGAUGUCCUUGGACAUGGUCAGAGACGGCGAGUAGGCGCCGUACGCGAAGAUGGCAGCGCAGAGGAAGCCCGACACAAUCAGGGUGAACACCCAGGCAACGACCUGCUUGGCGAACAGCUUCCAGUUCACGCCGCUGCGCAGGUCCUCGACCAGGCCCACGCCCAUCUCGCCACCGGUAAUAAUUUGGGUGGUGGACACAGGCAGGCCGUACACGGAGGCAAUGGAGACGGUGAACGAGGUAGCCAGCUCAGCGCAGAAGCCGCGGGACGGCGUCAUCUGCGGAACAGGCAUUGUAGGGGGAACAAGUGCCAAGGGUGAGCUGGAGAGCGCCGGAAACUUAUGCUCGCAAGCAUGACCGCUCCUACUAUCAAACCCUGCCACUGCGCCAUACAUGAGCAGUGUCCACGCGCCCACAGCCUGCUGCCUUUGCAUCAGCGCACCUUGGCCAGGCCCACGCCCAGAGUCAUCAUGAUGUUGUAGCCGUAGGUAGCCAGGCCCACCACAAUGCCGGCGCCGCCCAUGGCCAUCACCCAGACGGGGGUGUCGCCGCUGGACGAGAUGGUCCAGAAGCGGUACACAUACCAGAUGCCGGAGAAAGGGCCGACAGCGUUGGCGACAUCGUUGGCUCCGUGCGCGAAAGACACGGCGCAGGCAGAGAAGACCUGCAGGUACUUGUACACCUGCUCGGUCUCGGGGGAGAACACCUCGGCGGCAGCGUGCAUGUCGUGGAUGGUCUGGUCGUGCUCCACGUGCUGCGCGCGGCAAGGGCACCAGGGAGGUCUCGCGUGAAUACACUCGCAAGUUUGUGCUCGGGGUCUCGGGGUCUACACCAACCCACUCAGCUCCAUACCGUUCACUGCCGAAAUGUCCAGGACCCACCUCGUGAAUGUCGACGUUCAGGCCGCGGGUGGCAGCCUUCUUCAUCGAGUUGAAGAUCUUCAUGGCCUUAGAGGUGGGCUCAGCCUCCACCUCCUCCUCCUUGGGCUUGCCGGCGUUGGCCUCGGCGUCAGCAGCCUUCUGGGCAGCCCUGCAGAGUCGAGCAUUCCCAAAGUGUUAGCAGUUGCUUUGCCGCAAGCAUGUCCUGCGACUAUGAAUACCGGUAUGCAUAUGCAUGCGCGCGCAUCGUCUCAGACCCUACAACAAAUUGAACACAAGCAAUCUGCACAAUCAAGCAGACAAACUGAAGAAGCACAGUGCCUCCCGUAAU